GCAGACACAUUCCAGCCAAUCAGCAGCAGACCCUCCCUCCCAGACCCUCCACCUCCUGGACAGCUCACUAAGAAUGCAGCUUCACAAUGAAUGUAAAAUGGAUGCUGUCCAGGAGGUGGGAGGGUCUGGGAGGGAGGGUCUGCUGCUGAUUGGCUGGAAUGUGUCUG
rnacentral:miRNA from 1 species